GGGCGUGUAGCUCAUUUGGUAGAGCGCUCGCUUAGCAUCUCCUAGGGAUUAUCUCUUGGAUCCUCUAAUGCGAGAGGUACUGGGUUCGAUUCCCAGCUCGUCCA
rnacentral:tRNA from 1 species